rfam:Brachypodium distachyon strain Bd21 chromosome 3, whole genome shotgun sequence.
CUACUACUCUCUCCGUUUCAUAAUUCUUGUCGAAAUAUUACAUGUAUCUAGUUAUUUUUUAGGAAUAGAUACAUCCAUUUUUGAACAAAUUUGAAACAAAAAUUACGAAACAGAGGGAGUAGUAU